UCAGAAUGAUGAUGUUUACCCAUAUAUUCGCAGUUUCCACCAAAGUGAUGCUUUGUCAUUUCGAUGAUGGUUAAUCUUCCUUGGAUGUCUGACUGA